GGCCUCUGGGUCCAACCUCCCACCCGUGUUUAUCGUACCUUGUUGCUUCGGCGGGCCCGCCUCACGGCCGCCGGGGGGCAUCCGCCCCCGGGCCCGCGCCCGCCGAAGACACACAAACGAACUCUUGUCUGAAGAUUGCAGUCUGAGUACUUGACUAAAUCAGUUAAAACUUUCAACAACGGAUCUCUUGGUUCCGGCAUCGAUGAAGAACGCAGCGAAAUGCGAUAAGUAAUGUGAAUUGCAGAAUUCAGUGAAUCAUCGAGUCUUUGAACGCACAUUGCGCCCCCUGGUAUUCCGGGGGGCAUGCCUGUCCGAGCGUCAUUGCUGCCCUCAAGCACGGCUUGUGUGUUGGGCUCUCGCCCCCCGCUUCCGGGGGGCGGGCCCGAAAGGCAGCGGCGGCACCGCGUCCGGUCCUCGAGCGUAUGGGGCUUCGUCACCCGCUCUGUAGGCCCGGCCGGCGCCCGCCGGCGAACACCAUCAAUCUUAACCAGGUUGACCUCGGAUCAGGUAGGGAUACCCGCUGAACUUAAGCAUAUCAAUAAGACGGAGGAA
rnacentral:rRNA from 1 species